AACGAACGCUGACGGCAGGCUUAACACAUGCAAGUCGAGCGCGCCGCAAGGGGAGCGGCGGAAGGGUGAGUAACGCGUGGGAAUCUACCGAUGUCUACGGAAUAACGCAAGAAAACGGGUGCGAAUACCGUAUACGUCCUUCGGGAGACAGAUUUAUCGGGGAUGGAUGAGCCCGCGUUGGAUUAGCUAGGUGGUGGGGUAAAGGCCUACCAAGGCGACGAUCCAUAGCUGGUCUGAGAGGAUGAUCAGCCACACUGGGACUGAGACACGGCCCAGACUCCUACGGGAGGCAGCAGUGGGGAAUAUUGGACAAUGGGCGCAAGCCUGAUCCAGCCAUGCCGCGUGAGUGAUGAAGGCCCUAGGGUUGUAAGGCUCUUUCACCGGUGAAGAUAAUGACGGUAACCGGAGAAGAAGCCCCGGCUAACUUCGUGCCAGCCGCCGCCGUAACAC
rnacentral:rRNA from 1 species